AUGGAGUGCAGAAUUUCUUGCAUCCAAUUGAACAAACAAAACUGAAUAUUUGCCAAGAGGAGUGUUUAUUUAAAGACUAUCCUUGUGACGAGGAUGUCUUUCAACUGUGUGUAGAACUCAUGACUGAGCAUAACCUUGUCAUGUCAGAUGAUGUUUAUGAAAUUACAGACCUUUACCUCCAGCUUCGCGAAUUGAUCCUUCAAGGACUGGACGCUGAGGACUAGAUUCACCAUUCUAAAUUAAUAAACAUCACUAUAAGCUGUGAAGUGUUGAAUUGCAGCCUUAGCACCACAUUACUCUUCCUACCCCCCUUGGACCACUAGAGAGAACACUGGAGUGGCACACGCCCAUCUCCUUGAAGUUCACUCUGAGGUCACAGCCAUUCAUGAGGCAACAGAGUAUCAACGGCUUCACUGGAGCUUCUAGCAUGCUGUGAAAUUGAUAUCUUGUUAUCUGUUUAUUUUCAGAGUUAUAACAUGGCAAAAGCACAACCAUCAGAAUAAGAGGCAUAGAUGUAAUUAUAACACUUAGAAUUUUUUUCAAACAAUUGUAAAAAGUUUGCCUUAUUUUUUAUUUUAUUUUUCCAGCCACAGUAAUUUACAUGCAUGAUUUAUUGCAUUGCAUUAUACUGUCAAUACUUCAAACUUGAAUACAAAUGAAGUGCAGCAAGCCUUUUUAGAUGGACAAGUCAAGACAAUGUUUUGAACCUAAAAACUAAUGUAUUUAUGGCUUGAAACUGUUCAAAUUUGAUGGAUUUCUCUUCUGUUUAACAUUGACUUUCAAGACUUUAAAGGGGCAGGGGACUGAAAAUAUGAACAAAAAUGGGUUUAUAGGUAAAUUGAUGUUAUUUGUAUUAUCCCUGAAAUAAAUUAUUAAGAACUGAAUUUCUUAUGGUAUUUAGAUUAUUAACUGUAACCUUGUUGUGGUACAUUGCUCAAAACAAAACCUUAAACUUUCUUCUCAGAAUG